GGGCGCGGGGAGCGGGCUGUGCUGGGGGAGUGACCCCCGGCGAGGGAGUGACCGAGCCCCGGCGGGGGACUGACAGAGCCCCGGUGAAGGAGUGGCCCCGGGCGUCUGGGAUAAAGUCUCAAUGUGUGUAUCAAAUCAAAAGCUGGCUUUACUUUUAGAUGAUGGAUACAGAUCUAUGUUAUGGCUACUGGGCAGGAGAUAGAAAAGAGGAGGCCUCCAGUAGGGAACUCCCAGAAGCCAGAGGCAGAGCAGCG